CGAAGCACUUAUCUUUGAUUCUUCGGAUGAAGAGGUUUGUGACUGAGUGGCGGACGGGUGAGUAACGCGUGGGUAACCUGCCUCAUACAGGGGGAUAACAGUUAGAAAUGACUGCUAAUACCGCAUAAGACCACGGAGCCGCAUGGCUCCGUGGGAAAAACUCCGGUGGUAUGAGAUGGACCCGCGUCUGAUUAGGUAGUUGGUGGGGUAACGGCCUACCAAGCCGACGAUCAGUAGCCGACCUGAGAGGGUGACCGGCCACAUUGGGACUGAGACACGGCCCAAACUCCUACGGGAGGCAGCAGUGGGGAAUAUUGCACAAUGGGGGAAACCCUGAUGCAGCGACGCCGCGUGAGCGAAGAAGUAUUUCGGUAUGUAAAGCUCUAUCAGCAGGGAAGAAAAUGACGGUACCUGACUAAGAAGCACCGGCUAAAUACGUGCCAGCAGCCGCGGUAAUACGUAUGGUGCAAGCGUUAUCCGGAUUUACUGGGUGUAAAGGGAGCGUAGACGGCUGUGUAAGUCUGAAGUGAAAGCCCGGGGCUCAACCCCGGGACUGCUUUGGAAACUAUGCAGCUAGAGUGUCGGAGAGGUAAGUGGAAUUCCCAGUGUAGCGGUGAAAUGCGUAGAUAUUGGGAGGAACACCAGUGGCGAAGGCGGCUUACUGGACG
rnacentral:rRNA from 1 species